rnacentral:rRNA from 1 species
ACAUGCAAGUCGAGGGGCAUCGGGGAUAAGCUUGCUUAUCCGCCGGCGACCGGCGCACGGGUGCGCAACGCGUAUAGAAUCUGCCUCGUACUGGGGAAUAGCCCAGAGAAAUUUGGAUUAAUGCCCCAUGGUAUGCAACAGUGGCAUCACAGUUGCAUUAAAGGCUACGGUACGAGAUGACUAUGCGUCCCAUUAGUUAGUUGGUAAGGUAACGGCUUACCAAGGCAGCGAUGGGUAGGGGCCCUGAGAGGGGGAUCCCCCACACUGGUACUGAGACACGGACCAGACUCCUACGGGAGGCAGCAGUGAGGAAUAUUGGACAAUGGGCGGGAGCCUGAUCCAGCCAUGCCGCGUGCAGGAAGACGGUCCUAUGGAUUGUAAACUGCUUUUGUACGGGAAGAACAAGGGGCACGUGUGCCCUUCUGACGGUACCGUAAGAAUAAGGAUCGGCUAA